rnacentral:lncRNA from 1 species
CUUUCCCUACACUACGAUCUUCCGAGAGUGGGGCGAGAGGCCGAGAAUUUACCACGGCUUCGAUUUGUGUCAAAACCGUAGUGAGCUGCUCGUAAGUCAUCAGAUGCUCUCCGAUAGUUCUAGUGAGAUGGAAUUUGAUAGACUUGACGGCAGCUUCGCAUUUACCUCCAAAGUGCGGAGCUCCAGGCGGAUUGAACUUCCAGGUUGUGCCAUCUGUAGCCAGUAGAUGUGAAAGUUCUCCCAGUGAUCUUGAUCCUGAUGCGAAUUCAGCCCUUAGAGUUGCAUCUGCACCCACAAAGUUUGUACCACAGUCCGAAUAUAUGGUGUGGCAGAUGCCCCGGCGACUUGCGAACCUCCGAUACGCUGCGAUGAAUGCGCCUGUAGAGUAGUCCGUAACAAGUUCCAGAUGUAUAGCGGAAGUCGUGAAGCACACGAAAACUGCAAUCCACCCCUUGUAAGUUUUCGCUCCACGACCCUGGAAAGUUUUCAGAGUGACUGGCCCAGCGUAGUCUAAACCAGUAUGUAGAAACGCCCGGGCGGGAGUCACUCUAGAGGGGGGCAGUUGUCCCAUCAAUUGCUGUGCUCGAACACCUCGGUGUCUAGCACAGACUACGCAGCGUAAGAUGUGAGAUCUGACUGGUACGCGGCCACCAAUAAUCCAGUAGGAUUGGCGUAACGCAGCCGGAGUCAAUUGCGUUCCCCCGUGAAAGUUCCGUUUGUGGGCAUGAUCGAUGAGGAGUGA